ACCAGGUGCUGGUCCUCCACACUCACGCCAGCCAGUACCACGCGGUCGGGGGUGUAGUAAUUCCGCAGGUAGGAAUGCAGCACUUCCCGAUUGAUCUUUGCUAUGUUUUCUGUGGGACAGAAACGGUGGAGGCCAACUGUGGUGCCUGUUGAGCACGUUGAGGUAGAGCCUGUAAGCCGCUUCAUGAAUCAUCUCGGUGAGGAGUGGCUCUGGGUCAGGCUGCAUGUUCGGGUCCUCCAGCUCAAACUGGACCGCCAUCUGCAUCAUCUCGACUUCUUCAUCUGUUAGCUGGGGCUGCAGAACCGCAUCAGCCAGUAAGCCGAACACCGUGUCCAAGCCUUUACUAUCAGCAGACACAGCAUACGUGGUGGUGUCACUUGAUGUCUGGCAGUCACAAAUACCUCCAUGCUUUUCCAACGUAAGCAGUAUUUCAUCUUUGCUGUUAAAUCGAGCAUUAGAAGAAAAUGCCAAUUUUUCCAAAAAGUGAGCAAUUCCACUAAGAUAAAAGCUGUAUGACUUGGGUGGAGUAGCCUAUAGAAAUUAGCUUGGCUGAAGCACUACAGUGAGAAUCUAUGUUUGGCUGAGAAUAACCUUGGAUUAUAUCCUAUGUGCAAGCUAACUUGUUUAGUCAUGGAUGCUGGCAAAAGAUACGAGGCUUGGGUCAGAAACAAAGGAACUUCUUACUCUCAUGACAUAGCAAGCAGUUUAAGCUUUGUACUUACUUUGGAUUGCUCUGUUUAUCUCCAAGCACCACUAACAUAAUUAGAAUGGCCCAAUGCAGGGAAUUUGUGUUAUACAGUCAACGAACCCUGAAUCUGAGAAACCUCAACUUUGCCCGAGAGAGAGACAUUGUCCUUACUAUUCUCAACAACAGACAAACCUGCCUCUCCUCCAAAUGGAAAUACAAUCUUUAUUAUGUUUCAAGGCUGUUUGCUAUACAAAUAUCUUUGAAAAGAUAGUCUGGAACGAAAGCUGUCAAUGCUUCUGCUCAGAAAACAUAUGGAAACCCAACAUUCAUAAAGAGUUGUCUCCAACAGGGUUCUAUUUUUUCCAGUAAAUAAAAUCAUGGCCAGUAGCCAUGGAAAGAAAAAACAAUGCUGUAUUUAGAAACAGAGGUUAAGGUCAAGUCUCCACUUAACAAAGAGAAAUAAAGAAUUAAGCUCAGGCCAA
rnacentral:lncRNA from 1 species